UGCGGAGUUAGCUUGAAAUAGUGGUGGCUGGACAGCAAACGUUUCUAGGUUCUACCAACUCGUUUGAGACAGCCUUUCUCUACCCCCCAAGUUUGACCUCAAAUCAGGUAGGACUACCCGCUGAACUUAAGCAUAUCAAUAAGCGGAGGAAAAGAAACCAACAGGGAUUGCCUCAGUAACGGCGAGUGAAGCGGCAAGAGCUCAAAUUUGAAAUCCGGUACUUUCAGUGCCCGAGUUGUAAUUUGAAGAUAGUUUUCUGGCGCCGGCCCUUGUCUAUGUUCCUUGGAACAGGACGUCAUGGAGGGUGAGAAUCCCGUGUGGCGGGGAGCCCGGUGCUGUGUAGAUUUCUAUCGACGAGUCGAGUUGUUUGGGAAUGCAGCUCUAAGUGGGUGGUAAAUUCCAUCUAAAGCUAAAUACUGGCGAGAGACCGAUAGCGAACAAGUACAGUGAUGGAAAGAUGAAAAGAACUUUGAAAAGAGAGUGAAAAAGUACGUGAAAUUGUUGAAAGGGAAGGGUAUUGGAUCAGACUUGGUGUUGUGCGAUUAUCUUCUCCUCGUGGGUUGUGCACUCGUGCCUCACUGGGCCAGCAUCGGUUUGGGCGGCAGGACAAUGGCGGGGGAAUGUGGCACUUUACGUGUGUUAUAGCCCUUGCUGAUACUGCCUGCCUGGACCGAGGACUGCGGCUUCUGCCUAGGAUGCUGGCGUAAUGAUUCAAUACCGCCCGUCUUGAAACACGGACCAAGGAGUCUAACGUCUAUGCGAGUGUUUGGGUGUGAAACCCGUACGCGUAAUGAAAGUGAACGUAGGUGAGGGCCCCUCGGGGUGCAUCAUCGACCGAUCCUGAUGUCUUCGGAUGGAUUUGA
rnacentral:rRNA from 1 species